UACGUAGGGAGCAAGCGUUGUCCGGAAUCAUUGGGCGUAAAGCGCGCGUAGGCGGCCCUGUAAGUCCGUUGUGAAAGUCAAAGGCUCAACCUUUGAAAGCCGAUGGAUACUGCAGGGCUAGAGUCCGGAAGAGGCGAGUGGAAUUCCUGGUGUAGCGGUGGAAUGCGCAGAUAUCAGGAGGAACACCAAUAGCGAAGGCAGCUCGCUGGGACGGUACUGACGCUAAGGCGCGAAAGCGUGGGGGAGCGAACGAGG
rnacentral:rRNA from 1 species